rnacentral:lncRNA from 1 species
AAAUAAGAAGGAAGAGGUGCAAAGGGGAUUCAUGUGCAGGGCAGCACCAGUUGCUUUAGAUACUGAUCCUUUCAAUUAAGGGAGGUUCUGGAUAAGAAAGGGGAAAGUAACAUCCUUGUUUAUAAGCCCUGUUAGAUUUUGAAAUCUCUCCUUUUUUCCCCCCUUUUGUUUUUUUGGUUUUUUUUUUUUCAUCUGGAAUGACUGCAAGCAUUUUCUUGAUGUAUUCCAAUUAUUGUCCGGAUACAGAGUUGCAGAUUUAUAUUGUGCUUGUUUAGUGGAGUUACAAAAAGCCAAGACCAGCAACCAUUCAUAGCUGGUUGCCAAUUUUUUAUUUUGGGAUGAGUGCCUGGCUUGGGUGGGUCUGCAGAUGUCAACAGUGCUACUCCAGAAAUGUGUUUUAGUUGCUUUAUUUGCUCUCUUGAUGCAACUGCUUUACUAACAGUAGUUUAAUACCAUGCUCAGGUAGUCUGCCCCUUGAGCAUGGCCAGGUUGUUUUGUGUGCACCAAAAUAGCCUAAACCAGCUCCUUAGCUUGGAACUCUGUCACCCUUGAUAUCUGUCUGAAUCAUUAUUGUUAUUUUUCCUAUGGUCCCAUGCACAUUUUUUCCCCUGGAUAUUUGGGAAGGUGUGUGUGUGUGUGAAUUUCAGAGUGUUAGAAAUAUUUUUGGGAGUGUCUCAUUCUGACUGCAUUCAGAUAUCUGGUAUUUUGGUGGUCUCCACUGUUUUUCAGGUUGUUGAUAUUUGUGGAAGCUGCCAACAAUGGAAAAGUGGAUCUGGUCGCUUGGGAAGGCGCAACACUGCACAAUUGUUCCUCCUACAGCUGCUGGGUUGCUGCUCCAGGAUGCAGUUUCAAAGUUGGUGCUGGAUAAGUGGUCCUGCAGGGAGGUGCUGGGUUUGCUCAGGCAGGUCACACAGCUCACAAAUGUCUAUGCAGAUACACACAUAUGAGCCUUCCAAGACAUGCAGUUCUCUGCUAUCCUUCUGUGGUAUUACCACUGCCAGACACGUCAACUGCAAUGCAAAGCCAAGGAGCAGGUCUCAGGAAAUCCCCCUUAAUUUCAUGUUUGGCUUUCCCUGGGAGAAGUUGUAG